rnacentral:lncRNA from 1 species
UGGGCAGUAAUCUGUCUCAACCCAGAGCCUGAAUGGGAAGUUAUUUUGGCAGUGUUUCCCCUAUAUGCAUUAGCAGUGACCACUGUUUUUUUAUUUAUAUACGGAUGUGUAUGUAUGAUUUAAAAAUAAAUAAAUAAAAAAGCGGGCACGGUAAAACAUUUUUCAGUGUAAACUUAAGCGUAAUGAUUAUGGCUCUAGAUUGCAGAAAAGGCUGUUUCAGGUGUUUGAAAAAUGUAAAAUUCACUAAUUUAAGGAUGGGGGCUGGGGCCCCCUCUGCACCUCUCCUCAGCCAUUCUCACAUACUUUGUGCCCCCUCAGAUUUGUGGGGUGCAUGACAGCCUGCAGCUUGUCACUGGUCAUUUCGCCUUUCUUGCAUGUUUUUAAUUUGCUUUCGUUCAGACUCUUAGUGUAUUAGGCUGUAGGCCUAGUGGAAUGUAUUAGACUAUAGGUAGUGGAAUGUAUUAGACUGUAGGUAGUGUAGGUAGUGGAAUGUAUUAGACUGUAGGUAGUGUAGGUAGUGGAAUGUAUUAGACUGUAGGUAGUGGAAUGUAUUAGACUGUAGGUAGUGUAGGUAGGGGAAUGUAUUAGACUGUAGGUAGUGGAAUGGAUUAGACUGUAGGUAGUGUAGGUAGUGGAAUGUAUUAGACUGUAGGUAGUGGAAUGUAUUAGACUGUAGGUAGUGUAGGUAGUGGAAUGUAUUAGACUAUAGGUAGUGGAAUGUAUUAGACUGUAGGUAGUGGAAUGUAUUAGACUGUAGGUAGUGGAAUGUAUUAGACUGUAGGUAGUGGAAUGUAUUAGACUGUAGGUAGUGUAGGUAGUGGAAUGUAUUAGACUGUAGGUAGUGGAAUGUAUUAGACUGUAGGUAGUGGAAUGUAUUAGACUAUAGGUAGUGGAAUGUAUUAGACUAUAGACCCUUUCUAAGCCAUAAAUGGAGAUGGGGAUUUGGAUUUGUGGCUUUGACUUAAUUCUCUGUCCAGGCCAAUGACUAUGACGGCAAUUCUGAUCUAACUGGUCACUUUAAUAAUGUUUACAUACUGUUUUACUCAUUUAAUAUGUAUAUACUGUAUUCUACUGUAUUUUAGUUAAUGCCACUUCGACAUUGCUCAUCCUAAUAUUUAUAUAUUUCUUAAUUCCAUACUUUUACUUUUAGAUUUGUGUGUAUUGUUGUGAAUUGUUAGAUACUACAGCACUGUUGGAGCUAAUUCUACGUUCUACCCAUAUUCAGUCCAAUUUUAACAAAUAAUAUUGUAUUGUAACCUAUUGAGUUCAUGAUUUGCACAGCAUAGCAUACCUUCCUAGGUCAGGCCGUCAAAGAUUUCUGGUCACGCUCCUACCCGGAACUUAAACCUCCAGUCUGGCGAUCCUAUCGGACAUAUUUCAUGAAACACAGGAACGAUUAAAGGAGAACAUAUUUGUUUACAUAGAUCCGAAGUUUAAAUGUUUUCAGUUUCUCAGACAUCUUCUGGUUUCGAAAUUAGCCAGGGCCAUUUUACUAUUUAAUAACUUAGAAACAGUGAAAACCCAUUAAAUUGUCUUGUUUAGUUAGCUCUCUGGAGCAGGUUUUCCGCUUGUUACGAGGGUAGCUAGCUAGCUAGCAGCAAUCAAUCGCUUGCUAUACAUUUCACGAUGGACGACAGACUAUGAAAUUUGACCUCCGAUGUUAUAAACAAAUUGAAAGGUAGUUAUUGCAGUUUUACAAAAAUGGAUAUCAGUCUAACAAUUUCCCUAAUGCGGGGCCAGAUGGGUACCGUGAUAGAGAGAGCGGUUAGUGCCGCUGUUGAGACUGUGUUGGGGGAGAUGCUUAGAGUCGUCGGCAUUAAAUUUGACGAGCUGAAGAGGGAGGUAGUUGCUAAAGAGAAAGAGGCGGAGAACAUAAGACAGAUGUUGGAGAUAUCCCGAUCUCAGAUGAAGACUAUGCGGAAACACAUGAAUGCUCUGGGUGAGAACGCCCACGCUGCCACUUAUCAGACCUACCGGACAGCAUUCGGCCAUUCUGAUCCCCGCAGAAUUCACGGUUCCUCCGAGGCCGCACUAUCCUCGGGUUUACCACAGCCACCGAGAAGGAUGGUUACUAACAACAACCAAAUUCCCACUACAAAUGGAAACUUACAGCCAAGGAAUCGAGUCACCAUCACCCUACCCUCUGAGAAUAUGGUCAGGGCCACCCAGCCGUCUGAUAACUUGGUCAGGGUCACCCAACCCUCUGAUAACUUCGUCAGGGCCACCCAGCCGUCUGAUAACUUGGUCAGGGUCACCCAACCCUCUGAUAACUUGGUCAGGGUCACCCAACCCUCUGAUAACUUCGUCAGGGCCACCCAGCCGUCUGAUAACUUGGUCAGGGCCACCCAACCCUCUGAUAACUUGGUCAGGGCCACCCAACCCUCUGAUAACUUGGUCAGGGUCACCCAACCCUCUGAUAACUUGGUCAGGGCCACCCAACCCUCUGACAAUAUGGUAACCGUUAGGCCCACGUCAACAUCCUUUGACAGUCACGAUGAUCUGACAACUGUGAUCUCCCAGACUCUGGAGGAUCGGACAUUGACACCCACUAGUUCAUCAGAGCAUCUGGAACCUUUGAAAGAGGAGCACCCAGCCCCUCUAGACCCCGAGGUGUCUGAUGAGAGCCAGAGGAGGGAGGAGGAAGAAGAGUGGACCACCGUUACACAGCCACCAUCAGAGACCAGCACAGACCCUGGAGACCAGCUGGUCCUCUCCCCACCCAGGACUGACGGAGCAGACUGCUCUGCCAGGAGUGUACUGCCACUCUCCCAGCCACUUUCCCAGUUCCAAGUGAAAGAGGAGGAAGCUGAGGUGGAGAUCAUCUGUAUCAAACAGGAACCAGAGGAGGUGGAGACCCUGCUGAUAAACCUGGCUGCCGAAGGCUUCGACUCUCAGGGCAACCUUUUAGACAGGCAGACUCAGGGAAACCACCUCCUGGACAGUCACAGGACAAUCCCAGGCUCUCAGAGCCAGAGGGAUCGGAGAGCAUCCCGUCCACCACAGAACCAGAGGACCUUAGCAGAGAAUACACCCUUCACCUCAGCCGACUCUUGUUCAUAUGGGCUGUCCCAGGCAGUGAUGUCCACGUCAGGAGGAGUUGCUCCCAGGCCGAUGGUUCGUCCGUGGCCCAAGGACCUGAGUCUGUACGAGGAGUUUAAAAUGAGACGAACUGAGUUGAGGAGGAGGAACCAGACCCGUCAGAGAGAGAUGGAGAAAAACCUUCCCCAGCCUCUAUUAGCUGACCUGGUGAAGGAGAGACGGGAGAAGACCCGGCUCAGAGUGGCCCGCUGGAGAGCCAAGAGGAAGCUUCAGGCCUGCCUACUGACUCAGAUGAACCAGCAGACACAACACCAACAGACUGGACCGGGUCUGGGCCAAGGGAACAGUCUGAACAGUGGGCUGGGGAAUCAUAGCCAGAUUAGCCACCACACACAGCACAAAACCACAGGCCCGACUCAGACACAACAGAGGAACAGUGCUGCCGUCUCUCAAUCUCAGUACAAUAACAGUUUUCUGUACAACAGAAGUCACUGUGACUCUGGGGCUGGUAACAUUAACUACCCUUCUCUCCAGUUAAACUCCUCUUCUCUAAUGCUGGGGCAACACGGAGGACACAAUAUGGUGGAGCACAUUAUGCAGCCUGCGAUGACGUCAUCCUCACAGCAGGGCCUCUCCCUGACAGACUCUGAGCUCUACCAGUAACAAGGGAUCAUGGGUAUUCAAAUCUUACCCUACAAGUUCUGGAUUACUGCUGGUUUUCUGUUCUACCUGAUAAUGAAUUACACCCACCUGGUGUCCCAGGUCUAAAUCAGGCCCUGAUUAGAGUGGGAUCACCCACCUGGUGUCCCAGGUCUAAAUCAGUCCCUGAUUAGAGGGGGAUCACCCACCUGGUGUCCCAGGUCUAAAUCAGUCCCUGAUUAGAGGGGGAUCACCCACCUGGUGUCCCAGGUCUAAAUCAGUCCCUGAUUAGAGGGGGAUCACCCACCUGGUGUCCCAGGUCUAAAUCAGUCCCUGAUUAGAGGGGGAAUCAUCCACCUGGUGUCCCAGGUCUAAAUCAGUCCCUGAUUAGAGGAGAAGAGUGGAACUGGCUUUGUGGUCCACAUUUGAGUUAGAGGGCAGGAGACCAACAUUACAGUACCAGUUCUACUCUACCAGUACCAGUUCUACUCUACCAGUACCAGUUCUACUCUACCAGUACCAGUUCUACUCUUCCAGUUCUACUCUACCAGUACCAGUUCUACUCUACCAGUACCAGUUCUACUCUUCCAGUUCUACUCUACCAGUACCAGUUCUACUCUUCCAGUUCUACUCUACCAGUACCAGUUCUACUCUUCCAGUUCUACUCUACCAGUACCAGUUCUACUCUACCAGUACCAGUUCUACUCUACCAGUACCAGUUCUACUCUACCAGUACCAGUUCUACUCUACCAGUUCUACUCUACCAGUACCAGUUCUACUCUACCAGUACCAGUUCUACUCUUCCAGUUCUACUCUACCAGUACCAGUUCUACUCUUCCAGUUCUACUCUACCAGUACCAGUUCUACUCUACCAGUACCAGUUCUACUCUACCAGUACCAGUUCUACUCUACCAGUAACAAUAGAGCAGAGGAUGUGUUUUGUAGAGUCACUCCGUUGUAUGGCACCCUAUUCCCUAUGUAGUGCACUACAUUCGACAAAAGUUUUUUAUGGCUCUGGUCAAAAGUAGUGCACUAUAUAGGGAAUAUAGGGUGUCAUUUUCAGACACAACCUUUGCCUUCUGAUGCGGGGACAAUAACAUGAGAUAUUUCAAGGGGAAUUGUAUAAAUGCAAAAUUAUCCAAAUUGCCUGUGACAAAUUGAUAAAAAAAAAAAAGGCUUUUAUAAUUGAAUUGCUUAAAAAAAAAUAUAAAUACCUGAGAAUGUUUUGAUGUACAACAAAAGUCUUUAUUAAAAUACAUUAUUUAUGUUAACUUGAGUAAUGACUGUCCCUACAUGUCUACAAAUAUGGAGGAUAAAUCCUUGUACUCGAAUAACUGAUUGGAUCAUCAUGCGUAAUGCUUCUAGGUCAAACAAAUGUUCGUCAAUAUUAUUUAAUCAACUCUUAUUUAUACCUUGUAUUGCUCUGCAACUGGAUUUAAAUCACGAUAAUAUACUUAUUAUUCAGAUAUAGACCUAUUCAAUGAUAUACUAGGAAACUAUCCCAUAUACAUUAUGAAUCACUUUUUUGAGUUUAGGCCUAGUCUUUGAUCUCUUGCUUCAUUCCUCCUGUUCCGUACUUGAUAGUUACAUUAGCAGUGUUCAAGGCUGUUUACAUUAACCUGUCCAGUCAUUAUGUUUUUGGCAGCAUUUACAAAGUUUUGAUUAGAAAAUAGAUGGGACUGUUACUGUGCGUUUCCGUUGUUCAUAAAAAACAGCUGGAUGGAAUGACGUCACACCUAUUAAAAAAAAAAUUAUAAUAAUAAAAACACUUAGCAAAAACCGAGUGUCGAAUGAAAAGAAAGUGGUUGAAGUGUUUUCCAUUAUCCAUUUGGG